AGUGAACGCUGGCGGUAGGCCUAACACGUGCAAGUCGAACGGCAGCACAGUAAGAGCUUGCUCUUACGGGUGGCGAGUGGCGGACGGGAGAGGAAGACAUCGGAAUCUACUUUUUCGUGGGGGAUAACGUAGGGAAACUUACGCUAAUACCGCAUACGACCUACGGGUGAAAGCAGGGGAUCUCCGAACCUUGCGCGAUUGAAUGAGCCGAUGUAGAAUUAGCUAGGUGGGGGGGUAAAGGCCGGCCAAGGCGAGAAACCGGAGGUGGACUGGGAGGAUGGUCACCCACACUGGAAGUGAGAACCGGCCCAGGAGCCUACGGGAGGCCGCAGUGCGGAAUAUUCGACAAUAGUCGCAAGCCUUAUCCAGCCAUACCACGUAGGUGAAAAAGACCUUCGGGUUGGGAAGACCUUUUGUUGGGAAAAAAAAGCAGCAGGUAAAGACGCAGCUGUUCUGACGGUACCCAAAGAAUAAGCACCGGCUAACUACGUG
rnacentral:rRNA from 1 species